UACGUAGGUGGCAAGCGUUGUCCGGAAUUAUUGGGCGUAAAGCGCGCGCAGGCGGUCCUUUAAGUCUGAUGUGAAAGCCCACGGCUCAACCGUGGAGGGUCAUUGGAAACUGAGGGACUUGAGUGCAGAAGAGGAAAGCGGAAUUCCACGUGUAGCGGUGAAAUGCGUAGAGAUGUGGAGGAACACCAGUGGCGAAGGCGGCUUUCUGGUCUGUAACUGACGCUGAGGCGCGAAAGCGUGGGGGAGCAAACAGG
rnacentral:rRNA from 1 species